GGACUACCAGGGUAUCUAAUCCUGUUUGCUCCCCUAGCUUUCGUUCCUCAGCGUCAGUUGCGAUCCAGCCAGCCGCCUUCGCCACGGGUGUUCCUGCAGAUAUCUACGCAUUUCACCGCUACACCUGCAAUUCCACUGGCCUCUCUCGCACUCUAGCAUGGCAGUUUCGGGAGCAGCCUCCAAGUUAAGCCUGGAGAUUUCACUUCCGACUUGCCACACCGCCUACGAACCCUUUACGCCCAGUAAUUCCGAGCAACGCUGGCCCCCUACGUCUUACCGCGGCUGCUGGCAC
rnacentral:rRNA from 1 species